rnacentral:rRNA from 1 species
GUAGGUGGCAAGCGUUGUCCGGGAAUUAUUGGGGCGUAAAGCGCGCGCAGGCGGUUUUUUAAGUCUGAUGUGAAAGCCCACGGGCUCAACCGUGGAGGGUCAUUGGAAACUGGAGAACUUGAGUACAGAAGAGGAAAGCGGAAUUCCACGUGUAGCGGUGAAAUGCGUAGAGAUGUGGAGGAACACCAGUGGCGAAGGCGGCUUUCUGGUCUGUAACUGACGCUGAGGCGCGAAAGCGUGGGGAGCAAACAGGAUUAGAUACCCUGGUAGUCCACGCCGUAAACGAUGAGUGCUAAGUGUUAGGGGGUUUCCGCCCCUUAGUGCUGCAGCUAACGCAUUAAGCACUCCGCCUGGGGAGUACGGCCGCAAAGGCUGA